GGACGACAAAAAUACGUAAGAAAGCACCCUAUUAAUUUCCGAUAAUUAAAAAAUAAGUGAGAAAAAUGGUUUUUAAGACAAAAUUUGGCAUAUCGAGCACCACUGGGGACGUAAAGAAGGAUGGAGGAUAGCGUACAUCUCUGUCGCACUCAUUAGAGUGCGUUGUGCGCACGCGUGGCUCGCACAACGUGUUGAGACGUGAGCCGCGUCAAUGAGUGCGACAAGGACGGGCAAUAAGUAAGAAAGAUAGAGAUAGGGAGAUUUCCGUAAAUCGGUCCCAAGACAUCUUUUGGAUUUUUGGCCUAUCAUCUAGACAGUCCUGCGCGACGCCCUAACAUGUGUAUAUAGAAAUAGGGAUCUGCGCAGGGGCAAUAUAUUCGCAUCGAGUUGUAGCUAGUUUAAAUCAUAAAAUUAUUUCGUAUACCGGUAAUAAUUUUCAAUCUUUCAUUCUAUAACAAACCACAUGACGUGACGGAGUGAAAAACUCAUUUGAAUAUAACGUUCGUCUAGACGAAAGUGUGCAGUUAUAAUUUUUAUUUUAUUUGCAAUAAUCUUUUAGUGAACUUUUCAUCUUUUGUGAGAAAACAUCCACUGAGAAAAUAAUGCUGAAUGCGUAUCUGUGCGUUCCCGAGUCCGUCAGUUGCUCAAAUCGUUCGCGUGUAGACGUUUCAGUUAUGAGUGCUAUAGAAAACCAAAACAAAACGAACACAUACUCACACAGACUUUACGUACUUGUGUUUCCGAGCCUACCGUAUUUUAACGCAUGCGCCGGAUGAUAGAGAGGACCUCUCUAUAAGUGCGAACGGCAAAGCAUACAGUGCGUCUCUUUCUAAAAGCGGUUCUCAACGCGUAUUUUCUCAAUAUUCAAUUGCAUUUUUUCCAUAUUUAAACAAUGUAUAAAAAAAUAAUUUUUUUCUGCAAAGUUCAAUUAAACCCUCCUGAAACGCGUAGAAUAGAAAGAACCCGAGUUAUCUACAAAUUUAAUAUGUUUUGAAGCCUUCGAAGUUUCGAGGUUUUCACCCCGAGCGCACUGUUGUUUUUUACUAUUUAACCAUUAAUUUUUUAGUUAUCGGAAAUUAACAGGGUGCUUUCUUACGUAUUUUUGUUGUCCGAAAACGAUGGUAUAAGUAUUUUUUCAAUCAAUUUAAUAGCUUUCGAGUUAUAAGCGUUUUAAACUUUUAACCCUAAUUUUCUCAAUGUUGCCGGGGGUUGAUCGCAAAAUAAUUUACACCAUUCGAUUCAGCGUCAUCAAAUUAGUCUUAGAUCAAGUUUGCAGAUUUCCCCUCGAAAGUUGCUCCAUUCCUGCAUUUUGACUGGACUAUGACACAAAGUGCAUUACAAAAACGAUUCGGAAUUUGCCGAGUCAAUAUUGUCGAAUCCAGAGUUCAAUACAAAUGAGUAUUCUGAACGGCUACAAGGCAAAGUAGGCCUAUGUUUUUGCUGAUUCACUACAUAUGGAAUGAAUUCAAGCCAUUGGUAUGUACGGUUGUCUGUUGACGUCCCAGGACAUGACGUAUCAACUAUUUGUGUUGAGGCUGAUGCAACUCGUCUCCUGGACUGGUUUUCUCAUUUUGCAUCAAUCGUAGAUCCGAGGGACUAUCCAGCAGGCUCUCAAGAUAUUAUGUACUUCUUGCAAUUCCCCUAUGGUUUGCCACAAUUAUGAGCACAGCGAAUUGUUUCCAAGCGGAUACUUUUGACAGCUGCUCUGUUGUCGUUCCAUCGCCUUGGAAAACCACGAUCACUUCAAGCAACCCAAGUAAAAUAACCCACGUGAAUCAACUUUGAAGUAUUGUAACGGUACGAUGGUGACAGAACACCCUGUUACGCGUGAAUUCGAGCUUCUUAUGAAUAAAAGGAGCAGGUAUGAAAGAAAAACAAGAGUUAACUCAAAGUAAUGUGGAAAUAAACAAAAGAAAGCUUUUAUUCAA